rnacentral:rRNA from 1 species
CCUACGGGGGGCUGCAGUAGGGAAUCUUCGGCAAUGGACGGAAGUCUGACCGAGCAACGCCGCGUGAGUGAAGAAGGUUUUCGGAUCGUAAAGCUCUGUUGUAAGAGAAGAACGAGUGUGAGAGUGGAAAGUUCACACUGUGACGGUAUCUUACCAGAAAGGGACGGCUAACUACGUGCCAGCAGCCGCGGUAAUACGUAGGUCCCGAGCGUUGUCCGGAUUUAUUGGGCGUAAAGCGAGCGCAGGCGGUUAGAUAAGUCUGAAGUUAAAGGCUGUGGCUUAACCAUAGUACGCUUUGGAAACUGUUUAACUUGAGUGCAAGAGGGGAGAGUGGAAUUCCAUGUGUAGCGGUGAAAUGCUUAGAUAUCAUGAAGAACUCCGAUUGCGAAGGCAGCAUACGGGAGUGUAACUGACGCUUAAGCUCGAAGGUGCGGGUAUCG